UCCCGGUUGGCCCGGGCGGUCUCGCGUGAAAAAUACAACACACGACAAGGGUUGCGCUCGUUGCGGGACUUAACCCAACAUCUCACGACACGAGCUUUCGACGGCCAUGCAACAUCUGUCACCGCGUUCCCUAAGGCACUCCCCUGUUUCCAGGAGAUUCGCGGGAUGUCAAGCCUCGGUAAGGUUCUGCGCGUAGCUUCGGAUUGAACCACAUGCUCCACUGCUUGUGCGGAUCCCCGUCAAUUCCUUUGAGUUUUAAGCUUGCGCUCGUACUCCCCAGGCGGGAUGCUUAACGCGUUAGCUUCUCAGCCCAGAGGGUCGAUACUCCAAACUAAUAGCAUCCAUCGUUUACGGCGUGGACUAC
rnacentral:misc_RNA from 1 species